UCAGACGAUGCGUCAUGCAUAUCAAUAAGCGGAGGAAAAGAAACUAACAAGGAUUCCCCUAGUAACGGCGAGUGAAGCGGGAAGAGCUCAAAUUUGAAAUCUUAAAGGGUUUCCCUUUACGAAUUGUAGUUUAAAGAAGUGUUUUCUGUUGAGGUUUUGGUAAAAGUUCUUUGGAAUAGGACAUCAUAGAGGGUGAGAAUCCCGUAUUUGACCUUUACUUUCAACUUUGUGAUACACUUUCAAAGAGUCGGAUUGUUUGGGAAUGCAGUCCAAAAUGGGUGGUAAAUUUCAUCUAAAGCUAAAUAGUUGGCGAGAGACCGAUAGCGAACAAGUACCGUGAGGGAAAGAUGAAAAGAACUUUGAAAAGAGAGUUAAACAGUACGUGAAAUUGUCAAAAGGGAAGCGUUUGACACCAGUGUUGUUUUUCUGAAAAUCAAUUAAAGAACUGUUUAUGCUAAGUUGUUUAGACUUUAUCAGCUAUCUGUUUAGUUUUGAGCUUUUCUUUAAUGCACUUUUCAGUUAACAAGUCAACAUCAAUUUCUUUUGCUGUAAAAAAGCUUGAGGAAGGUGGCUUGAGAUUCGUCUUAAGUGUUUAUAGCCUCUUGCCUAUGCAGUCGGAGAGAUUGAGGUCUGCAGCGUAGAUCCUUCGGGGCUAAAUGCAUUUGUGCUAAGUUAUAGCAUUUUAUAGACAACUUGUUGACUAUGAUUUGUCUUGUAGCUUACUCGCUUAUGUUAUUUUACCUACGCUUAGGAUGUUGACACACGCGCGUGCUCG
rnacentral:rRNA from 1 species